UGUUCCCGGGCCUUGUACACACCGCCCGUCACACCACGAAAGUUGGCAAUACCCGAAGCCGGUGGCCUAACCCGCAAGGGAGGGAGCCGUCGAAGGUAGGGUCGAUGGUUGGGGUG
rnacentral:rRNA from 1 species